GACGAACGCUGGCGGCGUGCCUAAUACAUGCAAGUUGAGCGAUGAAGAUUGGUGCUUGCACCAAUUUGAAGAGCAGCGAACGGGUGAGUAACGCGUGGGGAAUCUGCCUUUGAGCGGGGGACAACAUUUGGAAACGAAUGCUAAUACCGCAUAACAACUUUAAACAUAAGUUUUAAGGUUGAAAGAUGCAAUUGCAUCACUCAAAGAUGAUCCCGCGUUGUAUUAGCUAGUUGGUGAGGUAAAGGCUCACCAAGGCGAUGUUACAUAGCAGACCUGAGAGGGUGGUCAGCCACCUUGGGACUGAGACACGGCACAUACUCCUACGGGAGGCAGCAGUAGGGAAUCGUCGGCAAUGGACGAAAGUCUGACCGCGCAACGCCGAGUGAGUGAAGAACGUUGUCGGAUCGUAAAACUCGGUUGGUAGAGAAGAACGUUGGUGAGCGUGGAACGCUCAUCAAGUGACGGUAACUACUCAGAAAGCGACGGCUAACUACGUG
rnacentral:rRNA from 1 species